AUUGAACGCUGGCGGCAGGCCUAACACAUGCAAGUCGAGCGGUUGAGGUAGCUUGCUACCGAAGCAGCGGCGAACGGGUGAGUAAUGCAUGGGAAUCUGCCUGGUAGUGGGGGACAACGUUUCGAAAGGAACGCUAAUACCGCAUACGCCCUACGGGGGAAAGGGGGGGAUCUUCGGACCUCUCGCUAUCAGAUGAGCCCAUGUCAGAUUAGCUUGUUGGGGAGGUAAAGGCUCACCAAGGCGACGAUCUGUAACUGGUCUGAGAGGAUGAUCAGUAAAACUGGAACUGAGAGACGGGCCAGACGCCUACGGGAGGCAGGAGGGGGGAAUAUUGGACAAUGGGGGCAACCCUGAUCCAGCCAUGCCGCGUGUGUGAAGAAGGCCUUCGGGUUGUAAAGCACUUUCAGUGGGGAGAAAGGUCAUUCACCUAAUACGUGAGUGAAUUGAUGUUACCCACAGAAGAAGCACCGGCUAACUCCGUGCCAGCAGCCGCAGUAA
rnacentral:rRNA from 1 species